ACGGAAGGCAGCAGUGGGGAAUAUUGGGCAAUGGGGGAAACCCUGACCCAGCAACGCCGCGUGAAGGAAGAAGGCUUUCGGGUUGUAAACUUCUUUUACCAGGGACGAAGAACGUGACGGUACCUGGAGAAAAAGCCCCGGCUAACUACGUGCCAGCAGCCGCGGUAAUACGUAGGGGGCAAGCGUUAUCCGGAUUUACUGGGUGUAAAGGGAGCGUAGACGGCGAGGCAAGUCUGAAGUGAAAUGCGGGGGCUCAACCCCUGAACUGCUUUGGAAACUGUUUUGCUAGAGUGCAGGAGAGGUAAGUGGAAUUCCUAGUGUAGCGGUGAAAUGCGUAGAUAUUAGGAGGAACACCGGCGGCGAAGGCGGCUUACUGGACUGUAACUGACGUUGAGGCUCGAAAGCGUGGGGAGCAAACAGGAUUAGAUACCCUGGUA
rnacentral:rRNA from 1 species